UGAUUGGAUUUUUUAAUUUAGAAUGUCUUCACAGUUCACCAGUGUUAUAGAAUGAGUUGUAGCACGUGUUUUUAAACCUUCUUGGGUUUUAAAAACAUUUGUGCUCAUGACAUUCACCUAUGACCUCAUGUGUCUUGUUGCCCUUCCUGGUUUAUAGACUCCUGGAGAGGUAUGAUCUUGUACUUACUCUUGGUAAGUCACCUCAUGGUGCCUCGUUCAUAAUAAUACUCAAUCAGCUCUUGUAAGUGGAUGGAUACAGGCCGCUCUAUAGUAGAAAAUGAUCCCCUCUUAUCCUUGUAUAUUCCACUUGCAUUUUGCUCUCAGGCAUUGGACACAGGGAGAUGAAUGAGCGUAAUUGUUCUUUCUACCAUUGCAGUGGGAGCCAGACAUAACUUAAGAUGUUUCCCCAGGUUGAAAAUAUGGUAGGCAUAUGAGUUUUAGGCAUGUAGAGUCAGCUCCCUGCUCACUGUGAAAAAAUAUAUAUGCAAUAUUCUUUAAAGAAGAUAAAAGGUCUUUUUUAGCAAUAUGAAGUGAGGGAGAGUUUUGUCAUUUUUUUUUUCUCCUCUGAGAAAAAAAUCAAAGUGACUUGUCACAUUAUGAUAAGAGUGAACUUUUCAGUUGGCUGGUCAUCAAUCUUUGGUGUCAUCUGAGUCUGCUGGAGAUCCACUUGCCUUGUUAUGUUAUGCUUGAUUAAAUAGUUCCUAUAAACAUUAAGAAAUAAAAAAGAAAUGGAACAAGAAAUAUUGGAGGUCUAGGUUUAAAUUGGCCACCCGCUAGUGACAGAAGGUGAAGUUUCUCGAGACCCUUCUUACUAGCACGCCCAGGCCUCUACCUCUUUGAAGCAGUAGAGCUUCAAGGGCAAACCUGGCUUCAGGAGCCCUGUGGGGAAUGUGGCCAGGUCAGGGGCAGCCCCAGGAAACUCACAUGUCUUCAUCACUUCAUCUGGCAGGAGCUGCUGCUGGACCACAUGCCACCAGUCCCACUCCCAAAGCAGAACAUUCAAGGAGUGUGUCUGAAAAGCAGCAGGCACCUACCUGCUCCCAGAAGGAAAGGCUGUGUUUCAACCAGCCAAAGCUGAAGAGUCUACUUCAAGCAGGGGCAUCCUGAAGAGAUGCAACUGGAGGGAUUUACUCAAGAGUUUCUGAGCCAGGACCUCUGGCGCACUUUGCAGAGUGAUUGGUAUGAAGGUCUGUUUCCCAUAAUAGAGGCUAAAAAAUGUCAGGUACUCCCUCUCCCACCCUCAUUGCAGACUAUGGAAGCUAUGGAGGCCAUAUGCAGUCAUUAAGUGGUAGCAAAAGUGAACAUGCUGAGGAUAGAGACAUACAAGGAUGGAAAGAAUCUGGAUCACUGAUGACACUGAUGAUCACUGUUUAAACCUCUUAGAGAUUGACUGAUUAAUUUUUCAUCAACAUAUACUUGGUGUAGCUGGCAGGAUAUCAGAGACACCUGCCAGAGGAUAUCCAGAGUCUACUUGGAACCUGCACUUAGUAUGAACAUGAGUGCUUGAGCCCCAUCAGCUUCUCAGUGCUUCUCAGUGCUCCUCAGUUGUUCUGCCAUGUGGUGUCCUCAGGCAACUGAGGACCUCCCAGCAGUGUCUGAAGAUCAGUCCUCAAGAUUUGCAGCAGUUCUAUAGUGGAAACCACCACGACCAUUAUCACAUGGAAGCUCUUGAGCCGGGGAUCGAACCCAUGCUGCCCUUGUGACCUCUGCCACAGCUGUAGCCAUGACAGAUCCAUAAGCAGACAUGCCAGAAGGGAAUUUCCUUAAGAAGUCUAAAGGACCAUGGAGAACAAUGGACAAGGACAAAGCCAAAGUCCAGAGAGGACCAGGUACAGAGCGUUCUUCCCAGAGAGAAGAUCCGAGAACUGACACAAGAACUUCCUUCACUCUGGGGCAGGGAGUCUGUACUUCUUGUCCAACAUGGUUUCUUUUCGCUAUGCACCCCUGCUUUCUAGGCUUCUCUUUUCCAAGUGAGCGUUUUCACUGUACGUAUCCUGUUUUUGCUCCACAUUACAUACUGAAAGUUGAGUAGUGGGGGGGUAUAACGUCCUGCUAUUGUAUAGGUAGCUGGAGCUGGACUUGAUGGAGAGGACUGCACAUCUCCCACGGAAGUUAGACUUCAUUUUUUACUCAGGAAAUGGAUUGUAUUUUACAUUAUCUCCCAAGGGGAGGGUUGAAUGUAUUUUAUGCUUGGAAAUAAGGGUGUGCUUGGACAUUUAUACGGCCAGAGGUUUAGAAGUGUCGGAGUUUGCUAAUUGUUCUCCGUGUCCAUUUUCCCUUUCUGCACUUCAGUAAUAGAGCUCCUCUGAGUGUGAGCUUACUGCACAACUGACCAGCAAGAUACUACACUUCCUGUCUCCUUCCAAGUAACUCUUGCUAUGUGGAUUUAAGACCACAGUAACAACAAUCAAGGGACCCUACUUCAGAGUUACAUUUUUCUCUGUGGAAAUACCUGCCUUAAUGCUGUGGGAAGACAGACAGAAGAAAAUUUUAAAUUGGAUAUGUGGCUCCAAUGGACAGCACUGAUCUGCAUCAGGUAACAUACUGCAUCAGGUUGUACUUAUUUGGCAAUUCUCCAGUAUGACAUUGAAAGAGCACAGAAUAGUCAUUUUACUAUUUGGUAAGUAAUCUUAUUCUGAAAUUUGGGGUAAGUUUUCUUAACAUUAUUGGCUCAUGAAAGACCAUGUUCUGUCUGAGACGUGCAGUAACUCAGCAGGUUUAGAGCCUGUGUCUUUGGAAGAAUAAUAGCCGCUGAGUCGGAAAAGGAAGUCUAGAUCCAUACUGUGAGAAGUCUUUAAGCAUUUGAUCUUUAUUAUGCAGGCAACUGGCAGCUAUUAAAGAAUUUUGUUUUGUUUUGUUUUUUUGCUUUUUAGGGCCGCCUCCACGGCAUA